rnacentral:rRNA from 1 species
GACGAACCGUGCAAACGUUGUUCGGAAUCACGUGGCAUAAAGGGCGCGUAGGCGGUCGGUCAAGUCUGGGGUGAAAUCUUUCGGCUCAACCGGAAACGUGCCCCGGAUACGGAUCGGCUGGAGGGGAAGGUAGGGGUCGACGGAACUUGCCGGUGGAGCGGUGAAAUGCGUAGAUAUCGGAAGGAACACCGGUGGCGAAAACGGAUC